GACGAACGCUGGCGGCGUGCUUAACACAUGCAAGUCGAACGGAAAGCCCCUGCUAUUGUGGUUUGCUCGAGUGGCGAACGGGUAAGUAACACGUGAGUAACCUGCCCUGGACUUCGGCAUAACUUCAGGACACCUGAUAUAAUACCGGAUAGGAGCUCCUGCUGCAAGGCCGCGGGUGGAAAGUCUCGGCUGUUGGUGAUGGACUCGCGGCUUAUCAGCUUGUUGGUGGGGUAGUCGCUUACUAAGGCUUUGACGGGUAGCCGGCCUGCGAGGGUGACCAGCCACAUUGGGACUGAGGUGAGGCCGAGACUCCUACGGGAGGCAGCAGUGGUGAAUAAUGCACAAUGGUCGGAAGCAUGAUGCAGCAACGCCGCGUGCGGGAUGACGGACGUCGGGUUGUAGACCGCUUUCGCCUGUGACGAAGCGUGAGUGACGGUAAUGGGUAAAGAAGCACCGGCUAACUACGUG
rnacentral:rRNA from 1 species